rnacentral:rRNA from 1 species
GAUGAACGCUGGCGGCGUGCUUAACACAUGCAAGUCGAACGGAAAGGCCACAGCUUGCUGUGGUACUCGAGUGGCGAACGGGUGAGUAACACGUGGGUGAUCUGCCCUGUACUUCGGGAUAAGCUUGGGAAACUGGGUCUAAUACCGGAUAGGAAUCACAUGUGGGUGUGUGGUUGGAAAGCUUUUGCGGUAUGGGAUGAGCUCGCGGCCUAUCAGCUUGUUGGUGGGGUAAUGGCCUACCAAGGCGUCGACGGGUAGCCGGCCUGAGGGGGUGUACGGCCACAUUGGGACUGAGAUACGGCCCAGACUCCUACGGGAGGCAGCAGUGGGGAAUAUUGCACAAUGGGCGCAAGCCUGAUGCAGCGACGCCGCGUGGGGGAUGACGGCCUUCGGGUUGUAAACUCCUUUCGUCAGGGACGAAGCGAAAGUGACGGUACCUGGAUAAGAAGCACCGGCUAACUACGUG